rnacentral:rRNA from 1 species
CCUACGGGCGGCAGCAGUGAGGAAUAUUCGUCAAUGGCCGGAAGGCUGAACCAGCCAAGUCGCGUGAGGGACGACUGCCCUAUGGGUUGUAAACUUCUUUUAUAAAGGAAGAAAAAAAGGUUCGUGUCUCAUCGUGCCCUUACCUUAUGUAUAAGGAUCGGCUAACCCGGUUCCAGCAGCCGCGGUAAUACGGUGCAUGCGAGGGUUAUCCGGUUUUAUUGGGUUAAACGGGAGCGUAGGGGUUUUGUUAUGUUAGUGGGAAAACGUCGGGGCUAAACCUGGAGAUGCCAUUGAUAUUGGGAGACUUGAGUUCAGACGAGGUGAGCGGAAUUACAUGGGUAGCGGUGAAAUGCGUAGAUAUA